CCUACGGGAGGCAGCAGUGGGGAAUAUUGGGCAAUGGAGGCAACGCUGACCCAGCAACGCCGCGUGAAUGAAGAAGGUCUUAGGAGUGUAAAGAUUCUUAAUCCGGGACGAAAAAGAUGACGGUACCUGAGGAAUAAGCCACGGCAAACUAAGGGCAAGCAGCCGCGGUAAGACAGAGGGCGCAAGCGGUAGCCGGAAUGACUGGGGUUAAAGGGAGCGUAGGCGGUCUGGUAAGUGAGGGGGGAAAUCCCGGGGCUCAACCCCGUAACUGCUUUAAAGACUGACGGCUUUUGGGGUCUGGGGGGUAGCGGAAUGCCUAGUGUAGCGGUGGAAUGCGUAGAUAUUACGAGGAACACCGGUGGCGAAGGCGGCUUACCGGCUUCUAACUGACGCUGAGGCACGAAAGCGUGGGUAGCGAACAGGAUUAGAUACCCCAGUAGUC
rnacentral:rRNA from 1 species